rnacentral:misc_RNA from 1 species
AAGUCGUAACAAGGUUUCCGUAGGUGAACCUGCGGAAGGAUCAUUAUCACGUUUCAAACGUAUUAACCAAUCAGUCGAACUUGUGUCACACCCUACCGGUGCGCGUCAUGGGCUCGCUGUGCUCGUCUUGGUGGGUCGGAACCGAACCGAACCGAAAGGAGAGGAGAGGAGACGACGGCGACACAGGGAACCAACCAGGUGAAACAGACUGGAACAUGCGCAUGCCGGCUAUUCUUUCUACCAUCUCUCACUACCAUGAGAGCAGUAGCUAUCGAACGAUAUUCACCCCGUCUCACUUGACUAACCUAUUCACUUGAACUCAACUUAUUCAGUUAAGUUAAGCUCAAGCUUGAAUCUAUUAUCUCAACUAAGCACAACUCUUAGCAACGGAUAUCUAGGUUCUC